ACAUAUAUAUAGUGCGUGUAUGUAUAUAUAUGAAUAUAAACAUUUAUGUAUACAGUACAUAUUUUUCUAUAAAUGCAUAGUAUUUAUAGUAUUUCUAUUAAAUGCAUAGUUUUUAUAGUAAGGUGGGUUUUUUAAUAAUACAAGAGUGUUAUGAAUGUUUUCCUCCACAGAAGCAAACUGCUAAUCAAGAGAGGAAAUAGAAGCAAAUUACCCCACCCACCUCCGAAGCCUCUGCUGACAGCAUUUAUCGUAAUGUUUCUCAACCUGCUUAGGCUGGCAACAAGAUAGAAGGUCUGUAUUUUAGAACCUGUAUUUUAAAAGUUUUGUUAAUUCUCUACUCGUUGAAUUUGGAUAAGCAUGCUCAGGAGGUAGGAUUUAUUUUGUAAGCCAGACACUUUUUUUGUGUGUGCAAGAUGCAAAAAUGCAAGAUAGGCAUUUUAUAUGUAAACACUAUUAUGUAGCAAUGAAAAAUAAAGGCCAAAGGAUUUGUAGCAAAACUGUUUCAGGAAGUGUUUACAGAUCAUUAAAUAAAGCAGACAGGUUUGGAUACUACCUGAAUUUAGUUCCACAGACUUGAUUAACUCAAAGCCUCUACUGUAGGACUUGAGUUUUCAUACAGCAUUCAGAAUAGAUACAUUUAGGAGCUUCCAGAGGUAUUAAGCUUGAUUAUCAGCACAUGCAGUAAUAUCAAUAAUUAAGAAUAUUACAGGCAGCAAUAACCUGAUUAAUAAUUCAGGAAAUUCAAAUGGGCACCAAGUUGGAGUUGUGAGUCUUGUAUUAACAUCUGUUAAUAUCUCCAGACUUAAAUCUUUUGAUAGAUUAAAUUACAGAAUUAAAGAAAAUACAACAGCUGAGAUACUAAAUUCCAGUCUUGGAGUCACUAUUUGGACACAGGUCCCCUAUUUGACCAAAACCAGCUGCUGUAUCUCAACUUCCCAGGACUACAUACUUGAGGAACGUUUUAGGGAUGACACUCAGGAGAAGAAAAGGUGGCAGAUACCCUCCAUGGGACAUUCUCCAGCAGCAGCAGCAACCUCUCAGAUCCCUCCUGUGUUUCUUAGUGAAAUCAAAAGGUUGAAGUUUCAAAGGAAUAAAAACUGAAGGGAACAGAGUUGUCUUGGUGUUUUCAGGUAGAUGAGAUACUGCAGUGCUUAAUGUUUAUUGUUAAGAUGAAAAGCUGGAGAACCCUUUAUUCAGUUUUAUACUGUGAGAUCAAGACGCUUUGUGUCGAUGUACAAAUUUCUCUGCUUCUGAGUUCUUUGUAGAGACAUAGAAAACUUCUAGCAGUGCAGAGGUGGUAUUUUGAUGAUGAUGGUCUAACUGUUUUCAUAAUUGUUCCAUUUAACAGCUGAUCUGAGAUGGUUCAAUCCAUAUAUAUCCAUGUUUCAACCCUGCCAGCGAACCUGUUGAUAAUAAACAGUUCUUAACGGCCCAACUGCUCUCUCAUCCAGGCUCAAUAAACAAUUCCAAAAGAAAACCACUACUCAGAGAGAAUGUUUGUUCUCCAGAUGAGAUCACGGCUGAAAACCUUCAUAUUUAAGCAUAUUAAUUGUAGGCCUGUGCCAACAGAAUAAAGCAGACUCGUUCCAGGCAUUAGCUGCUGCAAUUAAGACGUUUACUGAAAACAGUUCUUAAUGUUACAAUUGUAAACUGUGCAAUAAUAAACCAACUGAAAGUUA